rnacentral:rRNA from 1 species
UACGUAGGGGAUAAAUAAAUAUUUUUGGUUUAAUAGUUAAAUUUAAUGAAUUUUUAUAUUUAAUAUUUUUAGGUGAAAUUUUAAUUUUAAUUGUAAAUGAUUUAAUUGAAGCUAUGAAAUUUAUAUUAAAAACAAGGAUUAGAUACCCUUUUAUUUUAGAUGUUAAUAUUAACCAGGGUAGUAAUAGUUAUGUUCUUGAAACCCAGAGAAUUUGGCGGUAUUUUAUUCUUUUUAGAGGAACCUGUCCUGUAAUCGAUAGUCCACGAGGUUAUUUACUUAUUUUUGUUUUCAGUUUGUAUACCUCCGUCAUAAGAGUAUCUUUUUAGAGAUAAUAUUCUAUUAAUACUAAAUAUUAAAUGUCAGGUCAAGGUGCAAUUUAUGAAUAAGGAGAGAUGGGUUACAAUAAAGUUAUUUAUAUGAAUUAUGAUAAUUAUUGUUAUAUGAAGGUGGAUUUAAAAGUAAAACUAAUUUCUUGUUAUUUUGAUUUUAGCCCUAAAAUAUGCACACAUCGCCCGUCGCUCUUAUUUUAAAAUAAG